CCUACGGGAGGCUGCAGUGGGGAAUAUUGGACAAUGGGGGGAACCCUGAUCCAGCCAUGCCGCGUGUGUGAAGAAGGCCCUCGGGUUGUAAAGCACUUUCAGUGAGGAAGAACGCAUGGUGGUUAAUACCCAUCAGGAAAGACAUCACUCACAGAAGAAGCACCGGCUAACUCCGUGCCAGCAGCCGCGGUAAUACGGAGGGUGCGAGCGUUAAUCGGAAUUACUGGGCGUAAAGCGCGCGUAGGUGGCUUGAUAAGCCGGUUGUGAAAGCCCCGGGCUCAACCUGGGAACGGCAUCCGGAACUGUCAAGCUAGAGUGCAGGAGAGGAAGGUAGAAUUCCCGGUGUAGCGGUGAAAUGCGUAGAGAUCGGGAGGAAUACCAGUGGCGAAGGCGGCCUUCUGGACUGACACUGACACUGAGGUGCGAAAGCGUGGGUAGCAAACAGGAUUAGAUACCCUGGUAGUC
rnacentral:rRNA from 1 species